rnacentral:rRNA from 1 species
AGAACGCUGAAGGAGGAGCUUGCUCUUCUGGAUGAGUUGCGAACGGGUGAGUAACGCGUAGGUAACCUGCCUGGUAGCGGGGGAUAACUAUUGGAAACGAUAGCUAAUACCGCAUAAGAGUAGAUGUUGCAUGACAUUUGCUUAAAAGGUGCAAUUGCAUCACUACCAGAUGGACCUGCGUUGUAUUAGCUAGUUGGUGAGGUAACGGCUCACCAAGGCAACGAUACAUAGCCGACCUGAGAGGGUGAUCGGCCACACUGGGACUGAGACGCGGCCCAGACUCCUACGGGAGGCAGCAGUAGGGAAUCUUCGGCAAUGGACGGAAGUCUGACCGAGCAACGCCGCGUGAGUGAAGAAGGUUUUCGGAUCGUAAAGCUCUGUUGUAAGAGAAGAACGAGUGUGAGAGUGGAAAGUUCACACUGUGACGGUAUCUUACCAGACAGGGACGGCUAACUACGUGCCAGCAGCCGAGGUAAUACGUAGGUCCCGAGCGUUGUCCGGAUUUAUUGGGCGUAAAGCGAGCGCAGGCGGUUAGAUAAGUCUGAAGUUAAAGGCUGUGGCUUAACCAUAGUACGCUUUGGAAACUGUUUAACUUGAGUGCAAGAGGGGAGAGUGGAAUUCCAUGUAUAGCGGUGAAAUGCGUAGAUAUAUGGAGGAACACCGGUGGCGAAAGCGGCUCUCUGGCUUGUAACUGACGCUGAGGCUCGAAAGCGUGGGGAGCAAACAGGAUUAGAUACCCUGGUAGUCCACGCCGUAAACGAUGAGUGCUAGGUGUUAGACCCUUUCCGGGGUUAGUGCCGCAGCUAACGC